GAUGAACGCUGGCGGCGUGCCUAAUACAUGCAAGUCGAGCGAACGGACGAGAAGCUUGCUUCUCUGAUGUUAGCGGCGGACGGGUGAGUAACACGUGGAUAACCUACCUAUAAGACUGGGAUAACUUCGGGAAACCGGAGCUAAUACCGGAUAAUAUUUUGAACCGCAUGGUUCAAAAGUGAAAGACGGUCUUGCUGUCACUUAUAGAUGGAUCCGCGCUGCAUUAGCUAGUUGGUAAGGUAACGGCUUACCAAGGCAACGAUGCAUAGCCGACCUGAGAGGGUGAUCGGCCACACUGGAACUGAGGCACGGUCCAGACUCCUAAGGGAGGCAGCAGUAGGGAAACUUCCGCAAUGGGCGAAAGCCUGACGGAGCAACGCCGCGUGAGUGAUGAAGGUCUUCGGAUCGUAAAACUCUGUUAUUAGGGAAGAACAUAUGUGUAAGUAACUGUGCACAUCUUGACGGUACCUAAUCAGAAAGCCACGGCUAACUACGUG
rnacentral:rRNA from 1 species